GUAAAGUAGGGGCAGGCGGCCGGGGGAAUAGGUAGGGGGGAGGCGUUAUCCGGAGUUAUUGGGCGUAAAGGGGGCGUAGGCGGUGAUUGAAGGUGGAAGUGAAAGCCCACGGCUGAACCGGGGGAGGUCAUUGGAAACUGGUGCACUUGAGUGCAGAAGAGGAAAGUGGAAGUCCAUGUGUAGCGGUGAAAUGCGUAGAUAUAGGGAGGAACACCAGUGGCGAAGGCGACGUUCUGGUCUGUAACUGACGCUGAGGCUCGAAAGCGUGGGGAGCAAACAGGAUUAGAUACCCCGGUAGUC
rnacentral:rRNA from 1 species